rnacentral:rRNA from 1 species
GUUAGCAUGCAAGCCGAACGGCAGCACGGGGCAACCUGGUGGCGAGUGGCGAACGGGUGAGUAAUACAUCGGAACGUGCCCAAUCGUGGGGGAUAACGUAGCGAAAGUUACGCUAAUACCGCAUACGAUCUACGGAUGAAAGCGGGGGAUCGCAAGACCUCGCGCGAAUGGAGCGGCCGAUGUCAGAUUAGGUAGUUGGUGGGGUAAAGGCUCACCAAGCCGACGAUCUGUAGCUGGUCUGAGAGGACGACCAGCCACACUGGGACUGAGACACGGCCCAGACUCCUACGGGAGGCAGCAGUGGGGAAUUUUGGACAAUGGGCGCAAGCCUGAUCCAGCCAUUCCGCGUGCAGGAUGAAGGCCUUCGGGUUGUAAACUGCUUUUGUACGGAACGAAACGGUUCUCUCUAAUACAGGGGGCUAAUGACGGUACCGUAAGAAUAAGCACCGGCUAACUACGUGCCAGCAGCCGCGGUAAUACGUAGGGUGCAAGCGUUAAUCGGAAUUACUGGGCGUAAAGCGUGCGCAGGCGGUUUUGUAAGACAGAGGUGAAAUCCCCGGGCUCAACCUGGGAACUGCCUUUGUGACAGCAAGGCUGGAGUACGGCAGAGGGGGAUGGAAUUCCGCGUGUAGCAGUGAAAUGCGUAGAUAUGCGGAGGAACACCGAUGGCGAAGGCAAUCCCCUGGGCCUGUACUGACGCUCAUGCACGAAAGCGUGGGGGAGCAAACAGGACUAGAUACCCUGGUAGUCCACGCCCUAAACGAUGUCAACUGGGUUGUUGGGUCUUCACUGACUCAGUAACGAAGCUAACGCGUGAAGUUGACCGCCUGGGGAGUACGGCCGCAAGGUUGAAAACUCAAAGGAAUUGACGGGGACCCGCACAAGC